CUUUCCCAAGUUUACUCUGCAAAACCCAAAAACCUCAAACCUAAGACUCUCCAUAGACGGCGAAACCUACCACAAUUCUCUACGCGACGACGAUUUACGGUGGUGGAGAUUUAGGUGGCGGCGUUUUCUUUUCCCGGUGGUGCUUCUUCCGACGUAAUUUCAAAUUUCAAGUCUAAGUUAUUGAUCCCAAGGACAGCAUCAGCAUUCUCGUGUGUAAAUAACACCUGCAGUAAGCGCUUUGAUAGCCCAAAUACUGACACGUUUCUUCCAGGAAUGGACGGUGAUGUAAGCGCUUUGACGUCAUGGGAGGCUAGCAGCAACCCAGCACCUGGCAGCUAUGGGUUCUCUUUGCAGACCCAAGGGAACAAAGACAAUACAUUGGUUAUUUUGGAAAAUGGAUGAUUGUCUUCAGGACUGUAAUUGUGUAGCCUACUCUUGCGGUGCUGCUAAUUACACAGGUGGAUCAAAUGAGAUGUGCUUGAUGUGGAGUAAUGAACUUACUGACUUACAAGAGGAGUAUCACGGCGGGCUUACUAUCUUUGUUCGCAGUACACUUUCUGAUAUAGAAUUGACUUCUGAAGACUGCAAGCCUUGCGGGACUUAUACUAUUCCCUAUCCGCUUGGCACUUCUGCUGAUUGUGGCGAUCCCUCAUACUUUAAUUUUCAUUGUAAUGAGGAAACUUGGCAUAUUGUCAAGUUUGGCCUCAUACUACUUGCAAAGUGGCAAGAGACGGUGAAAGAAGGUGCAUUUGUCGAAAAAAAUUUCAUUGGGAUGGAUAUAAUGUAAGAUGUGAGGAAGCUUUUGGUGGACAAAAGGCCUGCUGAUAGUAACGAUGAUAGUAAAGCCCCUGCAUCUGCUACCGCCCAUGCUCAAUACAUGGAAGUACUUUUCAGAUUGUCAGUUUCCAAGUUAUGACAAAGAGCAGAUUGACGAAGUAAGAACCGAUUGGUGCGCUAUGUUGUUCAACAAUUGUAUAAUCUCUAGGUUAUGUUGAAGGAACCAACAAACAUAAGACUCUAUUGAAGUGUUGAUUAAUGUAUUCUACGUAGUUUAAUUUUUAGUUUUAGUUUAGAUCUAUGUAAUCGAUUUUAUUAGGGUGACAAUUGUAAAAAUUCUUUUAAUUGAGGUAUGAAAAUUAAUUUUCAACUA